CUGGCGGCGUGCCUAACACAUGCAAGUCGAACGAAGCACUUUCUCGGAGAUUCGUCGAAGAGGAAUUUGACUUAGUGGCGGACGGGUGAGUAAUGUAUGAGCAACCUGCCUUUCAGUGGGGGACGAACAGUUGGAAACGACUGCUAAUACCGCAUAACGUAUUGAGGGGGCGAUCCCCAUGAUACCAAAGGAUUUAUUCGCUGAAAGAUGGGCUCAUAUCUGAUUAGUUAGUUGGUGGGGUAACGGGCUCACCAAGACUGCGAUCAGUAGCCGGACUGAGAGGUUGAACGGCCACAUUGGGACUGAGAUACGGCCCAAACUCCUACGGGAGGCAGCAGUGGGGAAUAUUGGACAAUGGGGGAAACCCUGAUCCAGCGAACCGCCGCGUGAACGAAGAAGUAUCUCGGUAUGUAAAGUUCUAUCAGCAGGGAAGAUAAUGACGGUACCUGACUAAGAAGCACCGGCUAAAUACGUGCCAGCAGCAGC
rnacentral:rRNA from 1 species